rnacentral:misc_RNA from 1 species
GACUAUUUUGGGCCUACAGAGCGUUUCCAUCAACUUUGAUUUUACCUCAUUUUAGGACUAUGUACUUUUUUGUUUUAACCAAAAAACCAAACCAAAUCAAAUUAAUUUGGUUCAAUUAGCUUGAUUUUUUAGUCUAAUUGGUGUAGUUUUGUUUGAAGUUUUAGGUAAUUUUGAUUUUUAGUUUAGUUUGGCUUUUUCGAUAAAAAACCCAAAAGAGAAAAAGCUGAACACAUCGAUUUCCAACAUUACACCAUUUUGAAAAUAAUUACAUAUAUCAACAAAUUGACCCAUGCCCUAUUGUCUCACUUAGUCUAAAUUCAUUGUCUUUCCCUUUCAAUUCACAGCUCUAAACACACCAUUCAUGUCAUUCUUCUCUUCUUCUUUGCAUCAUUCUUCUAUUCUUCUUUGCUUCAUUCUUCUUCUUAUGGUUCUUAUUUACUCAUUUAGAGUCACAGAUGACAAAUCCUUACUCCAGUCUUCAUCAUCCACAGAAUAGAUCAUCUUCUUCUUCUUCCAUUGAUACCUUUGUCAGCAUCAAGAGGCUUAUGUUUGGCUAUGAGCUUGUUCUGUUUAGCUAUGAGUAUAGGUUUAUAGUAUUUUUUUCUAUUUGAUUUAAAUUGUAAAUUGAAUUAUAAUGUUGAUUGAUAAAAAAAAAUUAUGUUGUUCCUCUAUGCCUAGGAUACUAGAAUAUCGAACCGCUAGAGAUAAUAAAUUGUUGAAGAAAGAACAAGUUGUUUCUUUUGUCCCUUCCAAGUGAUCAGAAAAUAAAGAAAUGGUUAAUAUAUUCAAGAAAAUCACAUAUUUACAAAAUACUGUCUCUUAUGUUCGAAGCAAGAUUUUAUCUAAUUAGACCACGAAUUACAAACAUCUUUUCCUAUUUUUUGGAUUAUAGAUUUGAGAAUGUUGAUUCGGGUAUUGAGAAUUUGGGGUUGGGUGAUGGGAAUUUGAGAAACGACAUCAUUUAGUUAAAAACACCUCCAUAUGAGCAUUUUACAAAACUGAUUAUUCCAAAAUUGAACCAAUCUACUUCGAUUCAAUUUAGUUCUUCGCUCAAUUUGGUUUGGUUUAAGUUUGUAUUCUUUUAUGGUUUUGGUUUUUCGGUUUUUCUAAUGUCAGUUCGGUUCGGAACUGAACUGACCGUUUGCUCUCCCUACCCGAUUUGAUUUUGGUUCAACUCAAUUUGGGUUUUGGUUUUAGUUUUCGUUCAAUCCAAUUCUUAUUCCCAUUUGGUUUGAUUUUGAUUCAACCUGAUUUGAGUUUUGGUUUACAGUUUCUAUUCCUUCUCAACCUCAUUUCAUUUUUUCUUAUGGUUCAUCCCAGUUUCAAUUUUGGUUCAUGUCUAGUUUACUUUGGUUAUGAUUUUUAUUUUCAAUCUUUUAUUCUAGUUUAACCUAGUUUCAAUUUUGAUUUCAAUUUGGUUCAAUUUUAGUUCAAUUUCAAUUAAAGCCCAUUUCAAAUUUUGGUUUUGGUUCCUACAUGGUUCAACUUUGGUUCAACUCAGUUUCAAAUUUCGGUUUAGGUUUUGAUUCAACCCAAUUUUUGUUUUAGUUUCCACUUAGUUCGGUUCUAGUUUUUAUUCUAGUUUCAUUUUGUAUGCAGUUUUAAUUUCAUUUUACUAUUUUAAUUUUGAUUCUACCCAAUUUGAUUCCACUUCGAUUCACAACUGGAAGUCUAAAUUGGCUACUUCAAUCCAAUUCCACUUUAGGUUUAGGGGGAGUUGGCUGGCAAUUCAAGGGCAAUCAUGAUUUUGGUACGAGUUUGAUUUUGAAUGAAGGGCAGUUUGGGAUUAGGGUUAAAGCCAAUUCCAGUUCUGAAUUGGCCAAAUUAAUUUUUUUAUAAAAAAGAAAAUAAAAUUAAAAUAAUUAAAUAUUUAG